UACGGGGGGGGUAAGCGUUGUUCGGAAUUACUGGGCGUAAAGGGCUCGUAGGCGGCCACCUAAGUCAGACGUGAAAUCCCUCAGCUUAACUGGGGAACUGCGUCUGAUACUGGAUGGCUUGGAUCCGGAAGAGGGAUGCGGAAUUCCAGGUGUAGCGGUGAAAUGCGUAGAUAUCUGGAGGAACACCGGUGGCGAAAGCGGCUCUCUAGACCGAUAUUGACGCUCAUACGCGAGAGCGUGGGUAGCAAACAGG
rnacentral:rRNA from 1 species